rnacentral:snoRNA from 1 species
AAUGAUGGGGAUGAUGUGUUUCUAUGUGAAUAUGAGUAUGAUGUACAUUGGCAUAAUUUCAAGCGCAUUGCGGAUCUU